rnacentral:rRNA from 1 species
CCUACGGGUGGCAGCAGUGAGGAAUAUUGGUCAAUGGCCGGAAGGCUGAACCAGCCAUGCCGCGUGAAGGUCAGUGCCCCAUGGGCGGUAAACUUCUUUUGUGCGGGAGCAAUAAUGGUCACGUGUGGCCAGACGAGAGUACCGUACGAAUAAGCAUCGGCUAACUCCGUGCCAGCAGCCGCGGUAAUACGGGGGAUGCAAGCGUUAUCCGGAUUUAUUGGGUUUAAAGGGUGCGUAGGCUGUGAGGUAAGUCAGCGGUGAAAUGCCCCCGCUCAACGGGGUGAAGUGCCAUUGAUACUGCCUUGCUGGAAGGCGGAUGCCGUGGGAGGAAUGUGUGGUGUAGCGGGGAAAUGCAUAGAUAUCACACAGAACACCGAUUGCGAAGGCAUCUCGCGGGUCCGCGAUUGACGCUGAUGCACGAAAGCGUGGGUAUCAAACAGGAUUAGAUACCCCUGUAGUC